UAAAACGCGUUGAAGAGGCAAAGUAGGCUGGCGGAACCUGAUUGCAGAGAGCCGGUGGUCGCUGUGAACCGGUAUCAGUCCGUCAAUCGAAUUACACCUUGGAGCUGACGGUUGAAGCCGGGAGAUGAUCUCCGGUGAACCCGGAACGGAAUCCGCCGUUAUCCGGAUGGGCACAUGGCAUCCAUGUGUUUUGGAGAGGGAUCCUCGAUGAGGAUCCAAAAAGGGUGGUACCGCGAGAAAUUCUCGUCCCUUAU
rnacentral:ncRNA from 1 species